UGGGGAAUAUUGGACAAUGGGGGAAACCCUGAUCCAGCAAUGCCGCGUGAGUGAAGAAGGCCUUAGGGUUGUAAAACUCUUUCACCCGUGAAGAUGAUGACGGUAGCGGGAGAAGAAGCUCCGGCUAACUCCGUGCCAGCAGCCGCGGUAAUACGGAGGGGGCUAGCGUUGCUCGGAAUUACUGGGCGUAAAGCGCGCGUAGGCGGUGGUUCUAGUUAGAUGUGAAAGGCCUGGGCUUAACCUAGGAACUGCAUUUAAUACUGGAUCGCUAGAAUCCGAGAGAGGGUAGUGGAAUUCCCAGUGUAGAGGUGAAAUUCGUAGAUAUUGGGAAGAACACCAGUGGCGAAGGCGGCUACCUGGCUCGGUAUUGACGCUGAGGUGCGAAAGCGUGGGGAGCAAACAGG
rnacentral:rRNA from 2 species